rnacentral:rRNA from 1 species
AUUGAACGCUGGCGGCAGGCCUAACACAUGCAAGUCGAGCGAGCGGCGGACGGGUGAGUAAUGUAUGGGAAACUGCCUGAUGGAGGGGGAUAACUACUGGAAACGGUAGCUAAUACCGCAUACCAUCAGAUGUGCCCAUAUGGGAUUAGCUAGUAGGUGGGGUAACGGCUUACCUAGGCGACGAUCCCUAGCUGGUCUGAGAGGAUGACCAGCCACACUGGAACUGAGACACGGCCCAGACUCCUACGGGAGGCAGCAGUGGGGAAUAUUGCACAAGGGGCGCAAGCCUGAUGCAGCCAUGCCGCGUGUGUGAAGAAGGCCUUCGGGUUGUAAAGCACUUUCAGUGGGGAGGCGUUACCCGCAGAAGAAGCACCGGCUAACUCCGUGCCAGCAGCCGCGGUAAUUC